UCUCUCUCUCUCUUUCUCUAUGUAUCCCAGUGACACCCGAGGGCCACUUCACCUAGCAACGGAGGACCACUUCACCUAGCAACAGCUUCUUUCCUGUCCUUUGGCCCGAAAGGCGGUGUUUCUUUCCUUCAAACCCAUUCAAAUUGUUUCAAACUGAAGUCAAUGUCAGAACGUCGUGGGUUCACAGGUCUGUGGCACUAAAUUCACAGUGGAUAAAUGCUGAGCGCCGGAAGAGCAACUACGAUCUCAGAAAAGGACCUCCCCGUUCCCCAAAACGGCAUACGUCCAAACAACUUGGAGGCGCAUUGCUUGAGAGCAACGCCAAGCAGCUUUGCAACCCUCUCCUGUGCGCGGGACACCGAUAUACACAAACAGACACACACUUUCCUCGGGCCCAUCCUUCUUCUGAGAAGCAGGCACGGUAUUGUAUAAAAUAGCACAGCAUUUCAACGGCAUGUACAGGUUGUGCCUGGAGUGGCAAAGGGGGAAAUAAAGAUGUUUUCCUGGGUAUACACACUA